UGAAUACCUGCACCAUGGAAACAAUGUCAUUUGCAAGUUUUUUGAACCUGUGCUGGGCGUUCGCAUUGACACUUCUUGUUCAACAGGAAUACAUGAUGUCGACCAACAGUACAGCUAGAUGAAGAUAUAAAUUUAUUCAAAGAAAUAAUGGGACAAUGAAUGCUAAAAUUGCCAAGAAGAAGACUGCCAAUUUACACACCAUUUUAUACAGUUACAGUAUGAUAUGGUGAACAAAAUGCCUCAAUGCAGCCAGUUCUAGAGCUUUGGCUAGACUAUGAACAGUAGACAUCAAAAGAUGAUCAUCUGAAGGGCCACAAUUGUUUAAAGCACUGGUCAACAAAAACUGAACUAUUUGAUGGAUCAUACAUCUGCAGAAUGUACUACCAUAUUUCCAGAAUCAGAGAAAUAGAAAUAUCAAGUAUUAGAGAGAAAGAAAAGUAUGCAUCAUGUAUGAAGAACUGCCUAAGAAUAAUUUGCAAAAUACAUUGAAAUGUAACAAUUGCUAAUUGCAUAAGGAAGUUAAGGAAGGUGUACUGUUCUGGAAAAUAUGUGUCCAGUGCAACAUUUCUUUUCCAAUUUUGUGAGCACAAUUCUGAAUAAAAAUUGCAACAUGGCUACAGGGAUAAUACAAAAGGUUUAAUCUUAUUUCCAAACACAUUGGGGGAAUCAGAGAAGAAAUAUCAAGAAUUAGGGAAAAAGAAAUAAUUGUCAUGAAUGAAGAACUUACUUUUUAUUAAUUUACAAAAUACUUUUUAUCCUCACAACUGUUAAUGAUAUUAUGAAUAUGGAAGUUAAAAGUGUGGACUUUGAUUAAUCUUCAACUUCUCUGAGCAUAGUUCUACAUAAAAAUUGUAACUUUAUAAAAUA